rfam:Neotoma lepida isolate 417 scaffold_5252, whole genome shotgun sequence.
GCCGGGCGGUGGUGGCGCACGCCUUUAAUCCCAGCACUCGGGAGGCUGAGGCAGGAGGAUCUCUUUGAGUUCGAGGCCAGCCUGGGCUACCGAGUGAGUUCCAGGAAAGGUGCAAAGCUACACAGAGAAACCCUGUCUCGAAAAACCAGAAAAAAAAAAAGAUUUUUUGGAUUUUUUUUUGAGACAGGGUUUUUCUGUGUUGCUUUGGAGCCUUUCCUGGAACUCACUCUGUAGCCCAGGCUGGCCUUGAACUCACAGAGAUCUGCCUGCCUCUG